rnacentral:rRNA from 1 species
GGGCCCGCACAAGCGGAGGAACAUGUGGUUUAAUUCGAUGAUACGCGAGGAACCUUACCCAGGCUCGAACGGCAUUUUGAAGGUAAUCAGAGAUGAUAUCCGUCUUCGGACAGAAUGUCGAGGUGCUGCAUGGUUGUCGUCAGCUCGUGCCGUGAGGUGUCGGCUUAAGUGCCAUAACGAGCGCAACCCCUGCCGUCAGUUGCCAUCGGGUCAUGCCGGGCACUCUGUCGGGACUGCCAUCGCAAGAUGUGAGGAAGGUGGGGAUGACGUCAAAUCAGCACGGCCCUUACGUCUGGGGCUACACACGUGUUACAAUGGGGAGAACAGAGGGAAGCCACCCGGCGACGGGGCGCAGAUCCCGAAACCUCCUCUCAGUUCGGAUUGGAGUCUGCAACCCGACUCCAUGAAGCUGGAUUCGCUAGUAAUCGCGCAUCAGCCAUGGCGCGGUGAAUACGUUCCCGGGCCUU